GGGGCCCAGGCAGCAGGAAGCCACAGCACCUCCCGGGCCCACCUCUGCCUAGAUGGGUCCUUCCAACCUCUCCUGACAGUUUUUGCUAGACCUGGAAAGUGUAGGAAUGUAUAUAUCAUCAAAGGUAUGCUCACAAGUUGAACUCUGGGAUAUGCAAGGGAAGUAUGGGAGAGCCUUCAGAGAAACUCACCUCACUUAGGGUCCGGGAAGCUUCUAAAGAAGUAAGAAGGGCAAAGGUGAGAAAACCCGACCCCAGAGAAAUAUCUUUCCUGAGAUUUUGCAGGGUCUGGACUACAACUGCAAAUGACCGAUUCCUAGCUCAGACCCUUACCACAACAGACCCACGGAAUGUGCAACAGCAACAGUGAAUUCUGACGGACUUCGGGUGGUGAUGGUGUGUCAGCGUGGGUUCAUUACUUGUAACACACAUACCACUCCGCUGAGGGAUGUUUGUGAUGAGAAGCAGGGGUAUAAUGGGAAAUAUCUGUACUUUAAUUUUGCU